rnacentral:rRNA from 1 species
UACGUAGGGUGCGAGCGUUAAUCGGAAUUACUGGGCGUAAAGCGUGCGCAGGCGGUUCGUGAUGUCUGAUGUGAAAGCCCCGGGCUCAACCUGGGAACUGCAUUGGAAACUAGCGGGCUGGAGUGUGGCAGAGGGGGGUGGAAUUCCACGUGUAGCAGUGAAAUGCGUAGAUAUGCGGAGGAACACCGAUGGCGAAGGCAAUCCCCUGGGCCUGCACUGACGCUCAUGCACGAAAGCGUGGGGAGCAAACAGG